rnacentral:lncRNA from 1 species
CUACUUUAAAUAAAUAACCUUCUUUACUGCUUAAUGAAGAAUAAUGAACUAUGCACGUCAUUAUGGGAUGAAGAACAGGGAGUAAAGACAGAAUUUCUCACUGUAGCAAGAUGGCAGACUAAGAAAUAUUUAACACUAUCACUGUUCCCUGAAGCCUCCUCAGAAGCCGAGCAAAUGCCAGUGCCACGCUUGUACAGCCUGCAGAACUGUCAGCUAAUUCAACCUCUUUCUUUUUUAACUACCCAGUCUCAGGUAUUCGUUUAUAGCCACGCAAAAAUGGCCUAAAACAUCCUUUUCCCUCCUACUGAAUCUGGAUAAACCUAUGACUGUUUUGACCAACAGAAUACAGAGCAGUGUGUAUUUCUCUCAUUCAGCCAUGUAUUCACUUAAUGACUACAUAAUGAAUGCCUUCUGUGCCAAGGAAUAUAACUACUCAUUUAUUAACACCAAGUCCUGAAGAUAUGGCAUUCUUUUACUCAAUUUUCAUGAUCAUCACAUACCUUAGUGAAAAAUUAAAAUCAUGAUGUUUCAGUUAAGGAAUCUAAGAUGCUGUGCUUAACAAAAUUGCUGAAGUUACCACAAAUGUAAGUAAAAGACCAGGAUUAAACAAUCCAGAAAAACAGGCUUUCCAGACUGCAGAAAAACUUCUUCUGAAGACUUAAUGAGACACACAUAGUCACUGCCUGAGCUUUCUGCCCCUGAAUAAAGAUAUCUUCUUAUAGGGUCUGAAUUAGACUUCACAAUGGAAUUCAUCAGCAAAUAUUGGUGUCUACAUCUUUAAAAUGUGUCUGGAUUCUAAUCCUCACGAUUUCAACCACAACCUCCAUUGCCAGAGCCACCAUCAUCUCUCACCUCAAUUAUAGCAACAGCUUCUAACUGCUCUGUCAGUUUCUGCUUCUUCCCAAACAUUCCAUUCUCAAAACAGCAACCAAAGUGUUGCAUUAAAAAUAUCAUUGGAUCAGCAGGGCACAGUGACUCACGCCUGUAAUCCCAGCACUUUGGGAGGCCAAGGAGGGCGGAUCAUGAGGUCAGGAGUUCAAGACCAGCCUGACCAAUAAGGUGAAACCCCGUCUCUACUGAAAAUACAAAAAUUAGCUGGACAUGGUGGCUCACGUCUGUAGUCCCAGCUACUCAGGAGGCUGAGACAGGAGAAUCGCUUGAACCCAGGAGGCAGAGGUUGCAGUGAGCUGAGAUCAUACCACAACACUCCAGCCUGGGUGACAGGCAAAGACUCUGUCUCAAAACAAACAAACAAACAAACAAACAAACAAAGCCAUCCAAUCAUGUAGCUGUCCCAGUUAGAAUCCUCCAACAUCUCACCAUUUUACUCAGAAUGAAAGUUGUUCUGCUUGCAAUGCCAUGUUAAGAUCUGGCUGAUGGUUUUCUACUUGAUCAUCUGUUAUAAAUCUCAUCUUGCACCCAACCCCUGGCUGCUGUAGAGUUGUUCCUUGAACAUCCUUGGCACCAUCUCUUCUCAGAUCCAUUGCAUUUGUUGUUCCUACUGCCUGGGACGCUUUACCCUUAAUACUUUUAAACAGCAUAUCCCUUCCUCUCCUUGCUUAAAUUCAUCUUUUCAAAGAUCCCUGCCCUGACUACUUUUUAAAGAUUACGACACCUCUAUAUCCAUCCUGAACCCACCACCUUGGCAUUUUAGUCCCAAUUAUCUACUUGGCUUCCCUCCCUUGUUCUUACCUCCCUAUAGCUUAAUAUGUAAUAUGUAAUUUUCUUAUGUGAUUUAUUUUCUAUCUUCCAACCAAAGAGAGAAUUUAUUUUUCUUUUACUUUUUUUUUUUUAUUUUUUUUAACUGCUGCAUCCAAACUGCCUUGAUUAGUGCUAGGUACAACAAAUAUAAAUAUUUUUCAAAUCAAUGAAUGAAGAAUACAUGGAUAUUUAUAAACAUCUGAAAAGUAAGGGCAUAGAUUACUAGCGUAAGUUCUCCUGAAAUGGCAACUUAAUCUUCAUGGUUAAAAAUGCAGCAGAACGUUAAGUAUUCAGCUCUGUCAGGUCUGGAGAAAACAUAUCUUUCCAAGGACAAUUUUAGUACUAGCUGAUGCCACCCCUGGAAUCCCAGGAUAAAGGGUGCCUGCCAUGUUGAGAUAAGCUACAUUUAUGCCUGCCAUUUGGGGACACCUCCAUUCUGAAGAGUCUUUGUAUUCUUUUUUUUUUUUUUUUUGAGACGGAGUCUCACUCUGUCUCCCAGGCUGGAGUGCAGUGGCGCGAUCUCGGCUCACUGCAAGCUCUGCCUCCCGGGUUCACGCCAUUCUCGGUCUCAGCCUCCCAAGUAGCUGGGACUACAGGCGCCCGCCACCACGCCCGGCUAAUUUGUUUGUUUGUUUGUUUGUAUUUUUAGUAGAGAUGGGAUUUCACCGUAUUAGCCAGGAUGGUCUCGAUCUCCUGACCUCGUGAUCCACCUGCCUCAGCCUCCCAAAGUGCUGGGAUUACAGGCGUGAGCCACCGGAGUCUUUGUAUUCUUAACUAGUUCUCAAAGCCCAGGUUUUGUUAUUUCUCAUAAAGAAACCAAAAUCCUGUGGUUCAGUCCUGGAUUUACACAGCCCAAAUGACAGGAUACUGAAGCAAGCAAGAGAGAGAAGCUGAUCACUCAUCCACUCCAUCAUCACCAUGCUCUUAAAGCUCUCUGUGUUUUUCAUUUCACAUCGUGUAUCAGUAAAAAUGUGGCAAUGACAAGAUACUAUUUCACUUUGUGAUACGAUGUGUUGGAAUAAAAAAAAGGAUGGAAAGUUUAUUGUCCUUCCAAGAAUAACAGACAUUUAUAUUUUGGAAAGAUGAGUUGUCUUUCAAACUUCACCAAGGAAUUAUAAAGAGUUAUGUCAGAACAUGGCAUGUAAAUUGAGGCUGCCAGCAUCUGGUGAGGGUCAUUCCAUGGCCAGAAGCAUCACAUGGUGAGAGCACAAGCACAAAAGAGAAAAUCAGAACAAAUAUAUACUUUUUAUCAGAAAUCCACUUCCACAUAUAUGAGAGUUCUACUUCCUCCACAUACUAUAUAACACCAGAAUGACACAGACUGAGUAAUUUAUAAAGAAAAGAAGUUUAUUUGGCUCAUGGUUCUGAAGGCUGCGAAGUUCAAGGUCCUGGUGGCAUUUUCUGAUGAGGACUUUUGUACCGCAUCAAAACAUGAGGGUAAAAAAUGGCCAAUUGGUGAAAAAAAUAAAAGAAGAAUGGCUAGAACUUCUCCCAAAGAGCAACACCUAGAAGGAAAGCUGGAAAUGAAUGAAGAGAAGGAAGAGACGUACAGCUGCACUGGCUUGCCUCUCAGUAAGAUUACAGAUGCUUGCAUGAAUUCAUGACAGAUAAUUAUGUUCUAUAUAUCACACUGACUUUUGUUACAGUGGUACUACCAAGUUCUGGCGAAGAAUGAGGUUGUCAUUGGUAAAUAAUUGUUGAACCAGUUACUACAUUUCCUAGCUCCUCUUACCUCUAUAUGUGUCCAUGAGACUUUUGAUUGUGAAUGGAAGAUGAGAAGAAUUGAUGUGUGCCAUUCUCAGCCAAGGCUUUUUUAAAGAAGAGAGAGAAUGUGUCUCCUCCACGUUUUUGUUUGUUUGUUUGGUUUUGUUCUUACCCAUAUCUUGCACAGAAGCAUUAAAUAACUACAAUGCCCUAGAGAAUGGCAGAUGGGUAAGAUGAAAGGAGCCAGGUCCAGGCAGCACUCCACAGAAUAGGUCUCCCCGAGACACAGAAGAGUGCCACUUGUAUGCAAAGCCAAAAUAAACCUCUAUUGUGUUUGAA